rnacentral:RNase_P_RNA from 1 species
GAGGAAAGUCCGGGCUCUAAUUAAAGAAAUAUUGCUAUUAAAACAAAUAGUAUAGGUAACUAUGAGGAAAGUGCCACAGAAAUAAACCACUUAAAUAUGAUUUAAGAAAGGGUGCAAAGGUAUGGUAAAAGCAUACCAGAAAUAUAUUUGUUAUAUUUGCUAGGUAAACCCCAUAAUAGAGCAAAGUAAUUAGUAAAUAUUUAGUAUCUUUUUAUAACUAGAUAAAAAUUAUUACUAAUUGAUUAAAACUGCAAAACAAAUAUAAUUUGUAAAGAUUAAUAAUUACCCUUUUUAUUUUAUUUAUUAAAAAUAAAAUAACUAAGAACAAAAUCCGGCUUAC